CAGCAGCCGCGGUAAUACGUAGGGUGCAAGCGUUAAUCGGAAUUACUGGGGGUAAAGCGUGCGCAGGCGGUUCUAUAAGACAGAUGUGAAAUCCCCGGGCUCAACCUGGGAACUGCAUUUGUGACUGUAGAGCUGGAGUGCGGCAGAGGGGGAUGGAAUUCCGCGUGUAGCAGUGAAAUGCGUAGAUAUGCGGAGGAACACCGAUGGCGAAGGCAAUCCCCUGGGCCUGCACUGACGCUCAUGCACGAAAGCGUAGGGAGCAAACAGGAUUAGAUACCCCGGUAGUCCCUGUCUCUUAUAC
rnacentral:rRNA from 1 species